rnacentral:lncRNA from 1 species
AGCCUUCCAUUAGCCUGUAUAGCUUGUGUCUUAGUUUAGAUUUUAUUUUAUGAACUUAGUAUUUAGAUUUCUAUUAGCUUUUACCUUAGUUUUAUAUCCUGUUAAUUUGAGUGGUUGUUAGUUUGACCUUCCUUCAUCUCCAUUCUGUAAGUUUAACUAUUAGUCCCUUUACCUUAUUUUCUGUAUCUGUCUACUAUCUAUUUAGAUAUUAUCUUAGGUUUGACUUCAUAUACUCCU